rnacentral:tRNA from 1 species
GUGGGCAGUCUGGUCGGGCCCUCGGACUUCAAAUC